GGGCAUUAUCGUAAAUAAGACGAAGGGUAUUUACGUAAAUAAGGCUUUCUACUUCCAUGUGUCUAUUAGCCAUAAAUUAUAUCUCCCUUUUCCUUUAGCUGUUUGCUUUCCCAAUUUCAAUAAUUACUCACUCCUCCAGAUCUUCCCUGCAAAUAUCUUCACACCCAAAAACAACCUCCAAAAUCAAAAUCUCUUCUCAGCUCCAUCUAAGUAGAAAUUUUAUCUGGGUUUUGAAAAAACGGAAAACCGACUGUGCUGUUACUCUUUCACCCGUCUGAACCUGAAGCUUGUCGCAAUCCUUGUUUAUAUGCUCAGGUUCAGGCCCGCCCUUGGCCGUACUUAGCGGCCCAGCCUAUCAGCAGCAGACUUAGCGGUAAGUCCUCAUAGUUCGAGGAUAAUUAUUAUUUCAGUUAUCAGUAGUUCAGUAGUCGGAGUUAGUUGGGGGCUUGUCCCAUCAACUCCAUGUUUAGACAAUUAGAGGCUUUCAGACUAGAGUAUUUCAAACAGAUGUUUCAGUAUUUAGUAUUGGUUUUCAGUUAUGAACCUUAUGGCGUUUGUAGCCUAACAUCCGCAUUUAUUUAAGUUAUAUUGUUAUUCUAGUGUUAUUAU